CUGCGAUAAGCGCCGGUAAGGUGAUAUGAACCGUUAUAACCGGCGAUACCCGAAUGGGGAAACCCAGUGUGACUCGUCACACUAUCAUUAACUGAAUCCAUAGGUUAAUGAGGCGAACCGGGGGAACUGAAACAUCUAAGUACCCCGAGGAAAAGAAAUCAACCGAGAUUCCCCCAGUAGCGGCGAGCGAACGGGGAGGAGCCCAGAGCCUGAAUCAGCAUGUGUGUUAGUGGAAGCGUCUGGAAAGGCGCGCGAUACAGGGUGACAGCCCCGUACACAAAAGCGCAUGUGCUGUGAGCUCGAUGAGUAGGGCGGGACACGUGGUAUCCUGUCUGAAUAUGGGGGGACCAUCCUCCAAGGCUAAAUACUCCUGACUGACCGAUAGUGAACCAGUACCGUGAGGGAAAGGCGAAAAGAACCCCGGCGAGGGGAGUGAAAAAGAACCUGAAACCGUGUACGUACAAGCAGUGGGAGCCCCACCACCAAAGCAUUUGCUGUACCGCGUUGACGGAGCGAAGCGACGUCAAACCGAUAAAACAGCAGUGUAAAGUGAGCCGCAGGGCGCUUUGCGCGACAGCGCAAAGGCAGGCGGUUUCGCGUAGCGAAAGCGAAUGCUUUGGGGUGGGGUGACUGCGUACCUUUUGUAUAAUGGGUCAGCGACUUAUAUUCUGUAGCAAGGUUAACCGAAUAGGGGAGCCGGAGGGAAACCGAGUCUUAAUUGGGCGUUAAGUUGCAGGGUAUAGACCCGAAACCCGGUGAUCUAGCCAUGGGCAGGUUGAAGGUUGGGUAACACUAACUGGAGGACCGAACCGACUAAUGUUGAAAAAUUAGCGGAUGACCUGUGGCUGGGGGUGAAAGGCCAAUCAAACCGGGAGAUAGCUGGUUCUCCCCGAAAGCUAUUUAGGUAGCGCCUCGUGAAUUCAUCUCCGGGGGUAGAGCACUGUUUCGGCUAGGGGGCCAUCCCGGCUUACCAACCCGAUGCAAACUGCGAAUACCGGAGAAUGUUAUCACGGGAGACACACGGCGGGUGCUAACGUCCGUCGUGAAGAGGGAAACAACCCAGACCGCCAGCUAAGGUCCCAAAGUCAUGGUUAAGUGGGAAACGAUGUGGGAAGGCCCAGACAGCCAGGAUGUUGGCUUAGAAGCAGCCAUCAUUUAAAGAAAGCGUAAUAGCUCACUGGUCGAGUCGGCCUGCGCGGAAGAUGUAACGGGGCUAAACCAUGCACCGAAGCUGCGGCAGCGACACUGUGUGUUGUUGGGUAGGGGAGCGUUCUGUAAGCCUGUGAAGGUGUGUCGUGAGGCAUGCUGGAGGUAUCAGAAGUGCGAAUGCUGACAUAAGUAACGAUAAAGCGGGUGAAAAGCCCGCUCGCCGGAAGACCAAGGGUUCCUGUCCAACGUUAAUCGGGGCAGGGUGAGUCGACCCCUAAGGCGAGGCCGAAAGGCGUAGUCGAUGGGAAACGGGUUAAUAUUCCCGUACUUGGUGUUACUGCGAAGGGGGGACGGAGAAGGCUAUGUUGGCCGGG
rnacentral:rRNA from 1 species